rnacentral:rRNA from 1 species
AAGACUAUCAAACUCCGAAUGCCGUCAUCUUAUACUUGGGAGUCAGACUGUGGGUGAUAAGAUUCAUAGUCGAAAGGGCAACAGCCCAGAUCGUCAGCUAAGGUCCCUAAAUGUAAGUUAAGUGGUAAAGGAUGUGGGAUUGCACAGACAACCAGGAUGUUGGCUUAGAAGCAGCCACUCAUUCAAAGAGUGCGUAAUAGCUCACUGGUCGAGUGAUCCUGCGCCGAAGAUUUCCGGGGCUAAAACUUACUACCGAAGCUACGGCAUCAGUAAUGAUGGGUAGGGGAGCUUCCCAUACGGGUUGAAGCAUGACCGUAAGGACAUGUGGACAGUAUGGGAGUGAGAAUGUUGGCAUGAGUAGCGAGAUGUGGGUGAGAAUCCCACAGGCCGUAAACCCAAGGUUUCCAGGGGAAGGUUCGUCCGCCCUGGGUUAGUCGGGACCUAAGCUGAGGCCGAAAGGCGUAGGUGAUGGACAACAGGUUGAUAUUCCUGUAC